GACACGUUCCAAAUCCCACGGCGGCCGGAGACGGGUGAGCUCCUCCGCCGCCGCACUGUGAGCUAACCCCGUACCCUCUUCACCUUCGCUUUCUUCCUCCAGGAUUUUUUUUCGAGCCGCGUCGUGCACCAAGCUCGAAGAGUUCGCCGGUGCUGGCGCGGCGCGGCGAGGAGAGGAGAGAGCGGCCAUCGGCGCCCACAACGGGGAUGGAGGAGGAAUGGUUCUAGGAAGGUCUCCCGGUGCUGGUGCAGCACCCCGUCGUGUCCUAGACCUUGUUGCGCCGUUGCCGGCGGGGCGACUACCUCAGUGUCUCCGGCGCAUCGCUGGGUGCCGGGAGAGCCUGAAAGUGCCGGCCACGCGCAGAGAGGAUGGGAGGCAGAAGGGAGACGCUGCUCGGAGCAACGAAGUGAGGUGGUUCGCCGGCGGGAGCGUCUGGUUCCAACAGUUUGGCUGGAGAAGGGUUGGGGCGACGCCGCAAAGCGUGUACAUGGUGUCGUCCACUUGGUUCUUCGGGCCCCUGAUCUGGAGUAGUUCCUGAGAACUGAGUGCUAGCUCAGUGGCAAGGCUAGCGAGUGCGCAGCCAGCUCACCCGGGUUCGAAACCCCACCUAGCGGUAAUUUCGCUGGGAGGGGCGGACUAAAAACCGGGUUAUCAUCCAUAGCGUCCAUCCGCUGGGACCUGGGAGAGUCUCAUCCUACCUAACGGUGCCAAGGCAGGGAUCAUUCCCCCGUUGGUCAACUUUUUUGGAGUAGUUCCUUGGUACUAUACCAGUGAUGGUCACAUGGAUGCUUUGGCCAAUCCAAUGUUUUCGGAGACCAUAUUGAUACUGGCUCCAAGUUCUUUACAUGUUGGAGAAUGAGAUGUUCAUGAGAAUUAAGCAGCAAGGACUUGGCAUAACUCCUAAGACCCUUAUUGUAACCAGGCUGUUGCCUGAUGCUGUUGGAACUAACUAGAUGCACGCAGCGUCUCGAGUAGGUUAUUGGAACUGAGCAUUCCGUGUUGCGUUCAGAAAUGAGAAUGGGAUCCUCUGGAAGUGGAUAUCGCCUUUUGAUGUCUGGCCAUUCUUGGAGACAUACACCAAGGGUGCAGCCCAAGUUCAUUGAAAUCAUCAGCGCCACCACAGUGAAGGCGUGGAAAAUGCUGAAGAGGAGCCAACUCCUUUUCUCCUGUACUAUGUAGGCUGGAUGCGUGGAAUGAAACUCUCUGCAGUCUCCUCAUAAUUGUGCCCUGCUUUUGCUUCUUCAGGGGAGUGCUUGAAGCAACAGGAGACCAGCACCCUGGGUCCAACGGCGAGGCUGGGCUCAAUGUGAUCUUCACGCCCCAGAUGGUGGUGCUUUGGGCAGGAGAUGAUGGAUGGUCAAACAGGGUUUCAGGAGACUUUCAGGCGUUCCUGGCACCGCAAGUGAGGCCAGUCCGAGUGGAGAUGCCUAGUGUCUGCAAUCAAACUUGGUUUUUCAUUUGAGAAGGAUAUGCUUACGGACAAUAAUCUGAACAAGAGUCUGAAUGCACUUCAGAAGGAUAAUCUUGUAAGGCCACUGGUGAAGACUUCUGUUGAGCCAUGUGAUGAGAGGAGGCCCUUCCACGCUCUCUUGGAUGUUGGUCUUCUUAGAUGGUCACCGGCUGGCAAAUACUAGAAUCUUGGAUGUUGAUUUUUUCUUCUUCCAUUGAAGCAUUGCUGGAGAAGUGUCAUAAUCCUUGGCUGUUUUAAGUGCAUGGUUACAGUGACACCGUCUGGCUUUAGUUCAAGCAUGCCCUGUACCAGUGAUCUUUCAUUCUGAGCCUCUAAUUUAGCAAUGAGCUGAGUAGGCAUACAUGUAAACUGUUCACAGGUUGAUUGUAAAAUCACAGUAAAAUCUUGGAACACUGAACUUCAUAGUUACAUGUUUCCAACUCU